AAACCCCGGGUUAUUGUGUUAUUGAUAAAUAAUCGUAUUUUCAAAACUGAUUUUCAUAUAUUGUUUUGAAAAUUCUGUAUGAAUAUUAUGUGAAUAUAUGUGUGUUAUGUGAUUAAGUGGUAUUGGUGAAUUUGUUUGUUAAUUAGUUAUGAUUAAUUAUUAAUAUUAUAUGAUUAUUAUAUAAUUUUGUGAAUUUUGUAUUAUCUAGUUUACAGAGCUGAAUGCUCAUAUGUGUUCGUAUUUGAGAGAUUUCAAUUUCUAUAUGCUCAGGAGAAAAUAUAGUUUAUUUGGAUAUUUUCAUAUCGAUUUAUGGAAUGUUAGAUGAUUUUAUAAUCGAUUUACGGAUUUAAUUGCGUAUAUUUAUAUUUAUUUAUUAAUUAUUUGACUUCCGUAAAUCCGUCCACUCGUAACGGGGUAGCAAAUUUUCUUCCCGGAAGUUUCAACAAAACUCACCUUUAGCCUAAUUUCAAUAUUCCGGACAUUUUUCGUGUUUUGACUUUUUCGAUCCGGAGUACGGUUUUCCCCGUAGUCGGUCCGGCGGAGUUUUUCGGGUAUUUUAAUUGUUGAUAAUUAUCUGGUUGUCUCGAUAAACGUGAAACUAGAUAUUUUGAUUCAUCCUUAUCUUGUAAUAAUUGCAGUGGGACCCGCAUACUAAUGACUGAUUAAAAAGCCCCGUUUUGAUGAUUAUCUUGAAAACCAGUACCGAUUGGACCCUGCUUUAUUAAUAUAAAGCUACUAAAUAUGUAUUUUCAUGUCAUAAACGAUCCAAAGGGGUACCAAUUAUUGUAAAUAUAAAUAGACCUUUCUAGAGCUUAUUUUCACCCGUAAAAAUCAUUUCACCAGUUUCUCUGCACGAAUACCGAGAGAAACCGAGCAGUGUUCUUCGUGUUCUUCAUAAUCAAACGAAGAUUUGAAGGUGUUAUUGGAGUCAGAAUCAAGCGUGCAAAUAGUCAAAUCGAAGAUAUCGAAGAGUAGAACCCAAAUCAAUCAUCAAAAACAACAUGAGAUUCACAGGAUUUGGACGAGACGUGGAUGACCGAAGACGUUCAGAAGGACAAGUGGUGUUCUAAAGCGAAUAAAGAAUGAGUCGAGUAAGCGAAGUGGUGUGGCGAAUAGGGUAUAGCCAGAGAUGGUCUAGAGACUAUGAUAUGCAUAGAGUAUGAGAUUGGAAAGAUGAGAUAGAGAUGUGAGACUGGAGUCAGAUUUAAGGCAAGUAUCCUGCACCCUGCUUUUGGAUAUAUUGCAAAUAUUCUGAUUCAUUCUUUUGAUGUGCUGCAAGUAUCCUAAACCCUUUCUCUUGGAUAUAUUGCAAAUAUUCUGAUCCAUUCCUUUGGUAUAUGUUUCAAGUAUUCAUACCUUUCUUUUCAAUGUUCGAAAGUGCGAGUAUUCUGACCCAUUCUUUCUAAUCUUCAAGUUUCUAAAGAAUUUCCGUUUUACAAAUUAAUUCGAAGUUCAGAUUGUCAUUGAAGCAUGUGUUGCUCAGUGAUAGUUAGAGCUUUGAAUGAAUUGGGAUCUUCUUGAUUAUUUAACCCGCCAUUGUCAUUCUGGUUUAGCAGGCUAAAUUCAGUUGCUUAGCCGAUAAUGGAGGAUACUGAAUAGUUGAGGAUUUCCUGAACUGUGAUUUAUGAAAUGAUGGAUCAUGAUUUAUGAAUAGAUUAUUAUCAAAGUUUGAAUUGGAAUUAUUCUGUUGUUGAUGAUAUUUAUGAUGAUGUUCUGUUAAUUUACAUUGGCUUCUUGAAUUGAAUUAGAGAAUUGGAUUAUUGUUUUUAUAUAAACCUGUGGAUCAGAUUCGUGGUCAUGUUAGGCCAAUGAGUGCCUUGGAUCCAGUGAUAGAGCAUGGCGGGGCCUGCUCGGGGUUAGUGCGGAACUGAUCAGCUGCCUAACCUUGGUUUUAAUUAAAAUGUGAUAGUCCAAUUCAAUAAUUCUUCUGGAAAGAUUGAAUUCUUCGGUAUUCCAUUGAUGCAAGGUAUUGUAAAUCUUUUUAUACAAUACCGGAACUUGUGAACUCAGGUUGAAUCUUUCUAUAUCUUAAACUUAUGAACUCCUGUUAUAUCAUUUCAGAAUUUUCAUUGUUUAUUUACUACUUGCUGAGCAUUGUUGCUCACCCUUGCUUUUCCCUUCUAACCAUUUCAGAAAGGCUGAAAGAUGAAAUGAUUGAUUGAGAUCGUGAAUAAGGCUAAUGCUAGGCGAGGAGACAGAGUUGAGAAUCAAGUGGUCGAGGAGUGUUCAGGAAAGUUGAUGAGGUUGGUACAAGCUAGAGCUGUGCUAUAGAGAUUCAGAUGUAAGUCAUGGCUGGAAUAGAUUGGCAGUAAUUCUUCUUAUCGAAGAUGAUCUGAUUUGGUAAGAGAUGUUGUGUAAUAAUAGUGGUAGAUUCUAAUUUCAAUACUGUAACCUGGAUGCGAUCCUGUGCUUUUAGGGGGUUUAAAUGUUCUCUUUCGAAUAAUUUAUUAAAGUUUAAAUGUUUUCUUUCAAA